ACCACUGAGUCAUAUGAUGCUCCACUAAACCACUGAGUCAUAUGAUGCUCCACUAAACACCUGAGUCAUAUGAUGCUCCACUAAACCACUGAGUCAUAUGAUGCUCCACUAAACCACUGAGUCAUAUGAUGCUCCACUAAACCACUGAGUCAUAUGAUGCUCCACUAAACCACUGAGUCAUAUGAUGCUCCACUAAACCACUGAGUCAUAUGACAGUUAUUGGUGGUGAACAGUAGUAGCUCUGUGUGUUGAUGAAGUGUUGGGCACUGGUCCAAAGUAGUGCACUAAAUAGGUAAUACACUCUUAGAAAAAAGCAUUCCAAAAGGGCUCUUCUGCUGUCCCUAUUGGAGAACCCAUUCUGGUUCCAGGUAACACCCAUUCUGGUUCCAGGUAACACCCUUUUUGGUACCAGGUAACACCCUUUUUGGUACCAGGUAACACACAUUCUGGUUCCAGGUAACACCCAUUCUGGUUCCAGGUAACACCCUUUUUGGUACCAGGUAACACCCAUUCUGGUUCCAGGUAGAUAGCACCUUUUUUUCUAGGAGUGUAAGGUGCCAUUUCAGAUGCGGAAAUUGGAUGAAUCAAUGUUGUUUCCGCGUCAUUUCAACAACCAAAAAAGUAUUUGUGAUGACAUUGAAUCAAUGUGGAAAACUGAUUGGAUUUGCAAAAAGUAAUCAACAUAAGGAUCUUUUUUUCA